rnacentral:tRNA from 1 species
GCCUUGGUCGUCCAGUGGUCUAGGAUACACCCCUGUCACGGGUGUGACCCGGGUUCGAAUCCCGGCCAAGGCG